CCUACGGGAGGCAGCAGUGAGGAAUAUUGGUCAAUGGGCGUAAGCCUGAACCAGCCAAGUCGCGUGCAGGAUGAAGGUUCUAUGGAUCGUAAACCUCUUUUAUAAGGGAAUAAAGUGUGUGACGUGUCCUAUUUUGUAUGUACCUUAUGAAUAAGGAUCGGCUAACUCCGUGCCAGCAGCCGCGGUAAUACGGAGGAUCCGAGCGUUAUCCGGAUUUAUUGGGUUUAAAGGGUGCGUAGGCGGCCUGUUAAGUCAGCGGUGAAAUGUCGUGGCUCAACCAUAGAAUUGCCGUUGAAACUGGUCGGCUUGAGGAUGUAUGCGGCAGGCGGAAUGAGUGGUGUAGCGGUGAAAUGCUUAGAUAUUACGCAGAACCCCGAUUGCGAAGGCAGCUUGCCAAGCCAUGACUGACGCUGAUGCACGAAAGCGUGGGGAUCAAACAGGAUUAGAUACCCGAGUAGUC
rnacentral:rRNA from 1 species